CAGAAAUUACCUACGGCCUUGUCACAUGUCCCAGUAACAGAUGGCCCCCACAUAGCUCAAGGAAGAAGUCAUUGUCUUUCUCUCCAAUAACACUGUUUCUCUCAAAUUAUAUUUUCUCUCAUCUACAAUGCAUAGACAUCUGGCUUUCUGGUCUGGAGGUACCAACCGAUAAUUGCUUUAUUUAGAAAAGACGCUCUCUACCUGACAAUUCCUUCAUGAAGUCGGUUUCACUGCACACAUCCUUCCCAUAACACAGCAGCAGGUCUGUGUGUACAGUACGAAUCUGCAUUCUGAAUCCUGGCAUCAACAGGAAUGCCCAUCAGAGCAGCAAAAUCAGUCCUGGCAAAAAUCUUCCUUAGACGGAAAAAUACUUCAGUGUAGGAGUCCAUUAACUAAAUAAUUUGAACAACCUUUCAUGUGCAAAAAAAAAAAACCCAAACUUUUAAGCUCUUUUGACAUUAAUAGUUCAGACACAUGAACAAUAGCUAUGUUUUUCCUCUAUUUUUUUUUUUGGGAAGGGGGAAGUACAUACAAAUUAACUACUGUUUCUGGCUUGGACUCCUUACCUCAACAGCUCUGCAUAUCCCUGUGAAUCAUUCCCUCUUCUGUGAUAUAUACAUCAACAGCAUUUCAGCUUCAGGGGUUGUAUAAGCAGUUGCAAGAACACAGAACAUGAUGGAAAGUGACUGCCAGCAGCAUGAGACAACGAAGACAGCACACAAACUAGAUGCAAGCCAUCCAGGCAGACUGCAACCAUAUCUCCAUCAGCUCAUUUCAAAAUAGAAGUGUUGUUGGAAGGCUUUGAGAAGAGCCAUGUUCACCCUUGAAAACAACAAUCUGACUGGGGAAGUGGAAGAGAAUUCCAUGGCAGUCGAUGAAUGAGAAAAGGAGAAAGACAAAAGGAGAAAUCCUGAAAUAACCAAACUGGAGCUUAAGCCUUUAUAAACUUCUUUACGUCUACAAAAACUGUCACAUACAGCUGCAGUUGUUACUUAAGUUUCUAAAAAAGUCAUAAAAUACUAAAUAUAGUUUGA